UACGAAGGGGGCUAGCGUUGCUCGGAAUCACUGGGCGUAAAGCGCACGUAGGCGGAUUGCUAAGUCAGGGGUGAAAUCCUGGAGCUCAACUCCAGAACUGCCCUUGAUACUGGCGGUCUCGAGUCCGGGAGAGGUGAGUGGAACUGCGAGUGUAGAGGUGAAAUUCGUAGAUAUUGGGAAGAACACCGGUGGCGAAGGCGGCUCACUGGCCCGUAACUGACGCUCAUGCACGACAGCGUGGGGAUCAAACAGG
rnacentral:rRNA from 1 species